CCUACGGGAGGCUGCAGUGGGGAAUAUUGGACAAUGGGGGGAACCCUGAUCCAGCGACGCCGCGUGAGUGAAGAAGUAUUUCGGUAUGUAAAGCUCUAUCAGCAGGGAAGAAAAUGACGGUACCUGACUAAGAAGCCCCGGCUAACUACGUGCCAGCAGCCGCGGUAAUACGUAGGGGGCAAGCGUUAUCCGGAUUUACUGGGUGUAAAGGGAGCGCAGACGGCUUGGCAAGUCUGAAGUGAAAGCCCGGGGCUUAACCCCGGGACUGCUUUGGAAACUGUGAAGCUAGAGUGUCGGAGAGGUAAGUGGAAUUCCCAGUGUAGCGGUGAAAUGCGUAGAUAUUGGGAGGAACACCGGUGGCGAAGGCGGCUUACUGGACGAUAACUGACGUUGAGGCUCGAAGGCGUGGGGAGCAAACAGGAUUAGAUACCCUUGUAGUC
rnacentral:rRNA from 1 species